UACGGGGGGGGCAAGCGUUGUUCGGAAUUACUGGGCGUAAAGAGUGCGUAGGCGGUUUUCUAAGUUUGGUGUGAAAUCUCCCGGCUUAACUGGGAGGGUGCGCCGAAAACUGGAAGGCUUGAGUAUGGGAGAGGUAAGCGGAAUUCCUGGUGUAGCGGUGAAAUGCGUAGAUAUCAGGAGGAACACCUGCGGUGUAGACGGCUUACUGGACCAUAACUGACGCUGAGGCACGAAAGCGUGGGUAGCAAACAGG
rnacentral:rRNA from 1 species